AUGCAGAGCAUGGCGGCGUCCUCCUCGUCCCACUCCUCUUCAAGAGGCUGGGCGGCGGUGCGCCGUUGCCCCUCCCCUUCCCUGCCCGCGCGGCAUGUCGCCUUCUCCUCCUCGUCCUCUUCCCGCUGCCCCGUCGCGGGCGCCGGCGCGCCCGUCCUGCCGCUCGGCAUUCGCGGGGGCCGCCUGCCGCUCCCCUGCCCCCUGCUCCCGCCCGGCGGCAAGAACGGCGCUUCGGCGAGAAGGGCGACGGCGGCCGCCGCCGCGGCUUCGCCGUCGGCGGAGGGAGACGCGAAGCCGGAGGCCGCCGGCAUUCCGCGGACGCUGCAGCUCGGCGCCAUGAUCCUCGUCUGGUACCUCCUCAACAUCUACUUCAACAUCUACAACAAGCUGGUUCUGAAAGCAGUGCCCUUCCCGUACACCAUCACCACCUUCCAGUUCGCAUCCGGCUCCUUCUUCAUCACUCUCAUGUGGCUGUUUAAUCUGCACCCCAAGCCAAGGCUCUCCCUUCAACAGUACGCAAAGAUCCUUCCUUUGGCCUUAAUACACAUGAUGGGCAACGUCUUCACCAACAUGAGUUUGGGCAAGGUGGCUGUCUCCUUCACGCACACCAUCAAGGCCAUGGAGCCCUUCUUCUCUGUUCUGUUCUCAGUCUUGCUCCUCGGGCAGACACCUUCUUUACUGGUAGUAGGUUCUCUCGUGCCGGUUGUCGGUGGAGUUGUGUUGGCAUCCAUGACUGAAGUUUCUUUCAACUGGAUUGGAUUUUGGAGUGCCAUGGCUUCUAAUGUUACAAAUCAGUCGCGAAAUGUUUUCAGCAAGAAACUUCUUGCUGACAAAGAGGAAACGUUGGACGAUAUAAAUCUCUUCUCAAUUAUGACUGUCAUGUCAUUUUUGUUGUCGGUCCCAUUAAUGCUAUAUUUAGAGGGCAACAAGUUUAGCCCAUCAUACCUACAGAGCACUGGCGUAAAUCUUCAAGAACUAUGCGUGAAAGCAGUCAUUGCUGGCACUUGUUUCCAUUUUUAUCAACAGGUUUCAUAUAGUUUAUUGGCCAGAAUAUCACCUGUGACCCAUUCUGUUGCAAACUCUGUCAAACGAGUUGUUGUCAUCGUGUCAUCCGUUAUCUUCUUCAGAACUCCGAUUUCACCUAUCAAUGCCCUUGGAACUGGUCUGGCUCUGCUUGGUGUUUUCCUGUACUCUAGAUUCAAGAAGGCAAAACCAAAGGCAAAGGCUGCAUAA
rnacentral:rRNA from 1 species